UACGGAGGGGGCUAGCGUUGUUCGGAAUUACUGGGCGUAAAGCGCGCGUAGGCGGCUUUGUAAGUUUGUCGUGAAAUCCCCGGGCUCGACCUGGGAAUGGCGAUGAAGACUGCAAGGCUAGAAUCUGGCAGAGGGGGGUAGAAUUCCACGUGUAGCAGUGAAAUGCGUAGAGAUGUGGAGGAACACCGAUGGCGAAGGCAGCCCCCUGGGUCAAGAUUGACGCUCAUGCACGAAAGCGUGGGGAGCAAACAGG
rnacentral:rRNA from 1 species